rnacentral:tRNA from 1 species
UGUCCUGUAGCACAAUUGGUAGUGCAGGGUCCUCUGAAGGCCAAGGUUGCUGGUUCGAGCCCAGCCGGGACAGCCA